UUGGGCCAUCCUAUAUCCUCAUCUCUAUGA
rnacentral:piRNA from 1 species